GACGAACGCUGGCGGCGUGCUUAACACAUGCCAGUCGAACGCUGAAGCCCUGGCUUUUGUUGGGUUGGAUGAGUGGCGAACGGGUGAGUAACACGUGAGUAACCUGCCCUCUUCUUUGGGAUAACGCCCGGAAACGGGUGCUAAUACUGGAUAUUCACUGAUCUUCGCAUGGGGGUUGGUGGAAAGGUUUGUUCUGGUGGGGGAUGGGCUCGCGGCCUAUCAGCUUGUUGGUGGGGUGAUGGCCUACCAAGGCUUUGACGGGUAGCCGGCCUGAGAGGGUGACCGGUCACAUUGGGACUGAGAUACGGCCCAGACUCCUACGGGAGGCAGCAGUGGGGAAUAUUGCACAAUGGGCGAAAGCCUGAUGCAGCGACGCCGCGUGAGGGAUGGAGGCCUUCGGGUUGUAAACCUCUUUCGCUCAUGGUCAAGCCGCAACUGUGGGUUGUGGUGAGGGUAGUGGGUAAAGAAGCGCCGGCUAACUACGUG
rnacentral:rRNA from 1 species